UUUUUUUGUUAACCUUCCGGUCGUGCAGUGGCGCCUCCGGACACGUCGAGCCGGGCGAUGAGCGCAGACAGCCGGAAGCGAGCAGCCGCAGAUCCCCCUGACAGACGGGCGCGAGAUCCGACGUGACGGAGUACUUUUUUGUCGCUCGCGCUGCGCUGUUGGGUUGAGCUCGUGGGCUUUCAGUCGAGUGGCUGAAAAUGCUAAAUUCGGGCUAAUUGCGGGUUUCGCAGCAGCAGCUGAACCCAUUCGCGUUGUUUCAUAGGAAGCGGUUCGACACGGGGACAAAUAUGUCGGUGAAGAAGCUGCCAGAAACAAACGGGAGCGAAGAGGGCCAAUCUCAGCCGAGGGCGUCAUCAAGCUUCCCAAAGCAAUUGGACCUGAAGGCUGAGGUGGCUCUGGAAGGAGAAUGAUUUUGCCGUCCGGUCGUCCGUCAGAAGCCGUGGCCCGGACCUGCCACCCGGCAGGACCUCCACCCCGGCCACACAGAAAAUACGUCUGUGGGAAGCGCAGAGGAUAGCUGUCUGGACGUCACACUGAGCUGCACUUCGGAGUAAUUUAAAAGCCCCAACUGAAUCCUUUCCCUCUUCCUUGUGCUUUUUUUCCCCCGGUCAUCCUCAUCCUGGAUUACACGCUGAAUCAAUAUUUUGUUGCUUCAGCAAAAUAAACCCCAAUAAC